UACGUAGGGUGCGAGCGUUGUCCGGAAUUAUUGGGCGUAAAGAGCUCGUAGGCGGUGUGUCGCGUCGGCCGUGAAAACCUGUGGCUUAACUAUGGGCUUGCGGUCGAUACGGGCAUCACUGGAGUUCGGGCAGGGAGACUGGAAUUCCUGUGUAGCGGUGAAAUGCGCAGAUAUCAGGAGGAACACCGGUGGCGAAGGCGGGUCGUCUGGGCCGAUACUGACGUGAGGAGCGAAAGCGUGGGGAGCGAACAGG
rnacentral:rRNA from 1 species